GCCCUUUUCAUGUUGUACUACU
rnacentral:miRNA from 17 species